rnacentral:snRNA from 1 species
AUGCUUUCUUCGGCAGCACAUAUACUAAAAUUGGAAUUAUGCAAAGAUUAGCAUGGACCCUGCGCAAGGAUGACAUGCAAAUUUGUGAAGCGUUCCAUAUUAAA